GAUGAAGAACGCAGCGAAAUGCGAUAAGUAAUGUGAAUUGCAGAGUUCAGUGAAUCAUCGAAUCUUUGAACGCACAUUGCGCCCGUCAGUAUUCUGACGGGCAUGCCUGUCCGAGCGUCAUUUCAACCCUCAAGCACAGCUUGGUGUUGGCGGAUUGCGUGCCCUCGCGGCGCUGCAACCGCCCAAAUACAGUGGCGGUCCCGCUGCGGCUCCCUUUGCGUAGUAACUCACCUCGCACUGGACCGGGCGGCGGCCUGCCGUAAAACCCCAACUUACGAAAGGUUGACCUCGGAUCAGGUAGGAAUACCCGCUGAACUUAAGCAUAUCAAUAAGCGGAGGA
rnacentral:misc_RNA from 1 species